rnacentral:rRNA from 1 species
GAUGAACGCUGGCGGCGUGCUUAACACAUGCAAGUCGAACGGGAAACAUUUUAUUGAAGCUUCGGCAGAUUUAGCUUGUUUCUAGUGGCGGACGGGUGAGUAACGCGUGGGUAACCUGCCUUAUACUGGGGGAUAACAGUUAGAAAUGGCUGCUAAUACCGCAUAAGCGCACGGAGCCGCAUGGCUCAGUGUGAAAAACUCCGGUGGUAUAAGAUGGACCCGCGUUGGAUUAGCUAGUUGGCAGGGCAGCGGCCUACCAAGGCGACGAUCCAUAGCCGGCCUGAGAGGGUGAACGGCCACAUUGGGACUGAGACACGGCCCAGACUCCUACGGGAGGCAGCAGUGGGGAAUAUUGCACAAUGGGGGAAACCCUGAUGCAGCGACGCCGCGUGAAGGAAGAAGUAUCUCGGUAUGUAAACUUCUAUCAGCAGGGAAGAUAAUGACGGUACCUGACUAAGAAGCCCCGGCUAACUACGUGCCAGCCGCCGCCGUAA